rnacentral:rRNA from 1 species
UACGGAGGUGGCAAGCGUUGUCCGGAAUCAUUGGGCGUAAAGCGCGUGUAGGCGGUCCGGUAAGUCGGUUGUGAAAGUCCAGGGCUCAACCCUGGGAUGCCGACCGAUACUGUCGGACUAGAGUUCGGAAGAGGCGAGUGGAAUUCCCGGUGUAGCGGUGAAAUGCGCAGAUAUCGGGAGGAACACCAAUGGCGAAGGCAGCUCGCUGGGACGUUACUGACGCUGAGACGCGAAAGCGUGGGGAGCAAACAGG